CUCAAAUCGAAGGUUUUGAGGAGUAGAAUCUGAUUGGGUCAUCAAAAACAUCAAGAAAUUCGCAGAAGAAGCGAGACGUAGGAAGGGAAAGCAAGUGGUGAUAGAGUAGUAUAGCGAGCAAGCGUAGUUGAAACUUGAGAUCAGCUAUAUAAGGCAAAGAAAGUUGGUAACGAUGACCCUCAGGCUAGUAGUAAGGUCAGGAUUCCAGGCUAGGAGAUGAAGAGAGCUAUCAGCAGCACCUGGCUUUUCAUAUAUGUACUAGUUUGAAUAACGAGACACAAAUGGCGUGUAAGCUUGUAAGAUUUAAGUUUUUAUUUUGGGAUUUGGGUUUGUAAUAAUUAAAGUUGUGUUGUGGCUUGUUUUAUACUUUAACCUGUUGCGAUCCAAGGACAGUGAAGGGUCACUAUAUAUAUUAUAUCAUUAAUUA